rnacentral:tRNA from 1 species
UCUCUGGAGGACUAGUGGUUAGGCCACAGCGCGCUCACCGCUGCAGCCCGGGUUCGAUUCCCAGUCACCGGG